CCGCGUGUGUGAAGAAGGCCUUCGGGUUGUAAGCACUUUCAGUAGGGAGGAAGGCUUACCGCUAAUAAUGGUGAGUACUUGACGUUACCUACAGAAGAAGCACCGGCUAAUUUCGUGCCAGCAGCCGCGGUAAUACGAAAGGUGCGAGCGUUAAUCGGAAUUACUGGGCGUAAAGCGCGCGUAGGCGGUUUGUUAAGUCAGAUGUGAAAGCCCCGGGCUCAACCUGGGAAUUGCAUUUGAAACUGGCAAGCUAGAGUGCAGUAGAGGGAGGUGGAAUUUCCGGUGUAGCGGUGAAAUGCGUAGAGAUCGGAAGGAACACCAGUGGCGAAGGCGGCCUCCUGGACUGACACUGACGCUGAGGUUCGAAAGCGUGGGGAGCAAACAGGAUUAGAUACCCUGGUAGUCCACGCCGUAAACGAUGUCUACUAGUCGUUGGGAAUCUUAGUAUUCUUGGUGACGAAGUUAACGCGAUAAGUAGACCGCCUGGGGAGUACGGCCGCAAGGUUAAAACUCAAAUGAAUUGACGGGGGCCCGCACAAGCGGUGGAGCAUGUGGUUUAAUUCGAUGCAACGCGAAGAACCUUACCAGGCCUUGACAUCCUGCGAACUUACUAGAGAUAGAUUGGUGCCUUCGGGAGCGCAGUGACAGGUGCUGCAUGGCCGUCGUCAGCUCGUGUCGUGAGAUGUUGGGUUAAGUCCCGUAACGAGCGCAACCCUUGUCCUUAGUUGCCAGCACAUAAUGGUGGGAACUCUAGGGAGACUGCCGGUGACAAACCGGAGGAAGGUGGGGACGACGUCAGGUCAUCAUGGCCCUUACGGCCUGGGCUACACACGUGCUACAAUGGGCGGUACAGAGGGCAGCGAAGUCGCGAGGCCAAGCAAAUCCCUUAAAACCGUUCGUAGUCCGGAUUGGAGUCUGCAACUCGACUCCAUGAAGUCGGAAUCGCUAGUAAUCGUGAAUCAGAAUGUCGCGGUGAAUACGUUCCCGGGCCUUGUACACACCGCCCGUCACACCAUG
rnacentral:rRNA from 1 species